rnacentral:rRNA from 2 species
UGACCUCGGAUCAGGUAGGAUCCCCG